UAAUUGAAGAGUUUGAUCAUGGCUCAGAUUGAACGCUGGCGGCAGGCUUAACACAUGCAAGUCGAGCGGUAACAUUUCUAGCUUGCUAGAAGAUGACGAGCGGCGGACGGGUGAGUACAACUUGGGAAUCUGCCUGAUGGAGGGGGACAACCACUGGAAACGGUGGCUAAUACCGCAUAACC
rnacentral:ncRNA from 1 species